GGUUGAGGCGGGUAAAGACGGUUGCGUAGCUUACUUGGUAAAGUACUCCUUUAGUUUAGCGGUCAUGGAUCGAUUCUAGGUGGUUAACUUGUAUACCCCUAUUCUCAGAGUUCACGUUCUGAUCUAGCAAAUCCACUUUUCAGAUGAGUUCCAUAGUUUUGGACAGGACAGGUGGGAACCAGGAGGUAAAGCGUCUGUUAAAGCAAUCGGGCAAAUGCGUGUAUACUAGCUUACUAGCUUUAGUAGCUUGUGUACUAGCCUGUUAAAGGAAGCAGGGGUACGCUGAUUUGGGAUGCUAACUAAGUAGAUGCGGAAGCGAGGUGCGAAAAGGAGCUCGAUGAGCCUGAAGUCCAGAUGUGCAUCGACAACCGUCUCUUCGAUCUGAAAUAUGCUUUGCAUACGACCCCAGUUUCCUCUUUCGCCAUGCUAUCUUCGUUGGCAAACGGGUGGGUUAGAGCGAGCGCUGGCAGAGCGCAAUGCUGAUCAAACAGCCCGGGAUACUCGCCGCUUCGGUGUUUCGAGCAAGGGUUGUCGCCCUAAAGAGCAGACAGCCGUCGCUGACACAGACGCACCCCAGAAGCAGACGAAAAAGAAAUCCGACAAAGACAAGCCGAAGGAGAAUCUUUCUUCAACUGCGCCCGAGGCUCAAGAGGCCUUGUUGGAGAAGCUGUUACUAUCGAAACUAUACAACAAGCCUAAAAUCAAGAGUCUUCUGUUCCUCUCUCCUCGGUCUAGCCGGUAAAGGCUGAUCGCGGUAAGGGCUGGUUACGAUUGAAAAUACACACUAUUUAAGCGCUUAAGCUUACCAUGAUGAUUGCAGAAGAGGAAGUACGACGAGUACGGUAUGAAAUAGGUUGGCAAAGAACACAGAGUCGUUUUAAGGUCUAAAAACCCGACAGAACUCUUUCUUUCCAGGAAGCCUAUCCCUCUUUUUAUGUAUGAUACCAGUCGAGUACAAAAACGUAGCAACAAUUGCUUGUAAUUGGCCGUUUCCCUUCAUCGACAAAAUACGUUUCCAGCGAGAGAACAGGCUCAGACGGGAGCAGAGCCGAAAGGAGAUCCAUACGUUGAUCCAGUCAAAGAACUAGUGGAUCCCAAACAAGAGUUUGAUUCGUUUGUCUCGAAGAGUAAGAUAAAGGCCUAUUCAACCAACUACUCUUUCUCAACUUUAGGGAUAUUUCAUACUUAUUCCAACUACGGUAAGGAGCUUAAGAACUACAUGAUUCGCCCACUCGUCCCGGAAAGAAUACAAAUUUUUGAAAAAACAAGGUAGGUUUACCGGAUUGAGCUUUAAGCCUAGAACGCCAGAAUGGAUAGACUACCUUUUUUAUUGCCGCCUACCUCUUCCUCAAGCUCUGUCUCCCACUUCUCUGUCACUGCUUGAAAAGAGCUUUUCACCUGAAGAGAGAGAGCCCGCUAUAAGCCCGUGAUCGGACCUUCUUACCAAGAGGGAGAGCCCACCUUUUCGCUUACUGCCUAACUCAAGCUUGUCCAUAGAACGAGCUCCGCUAAGCGACUAGUUUACUGUUGAGAGGUAGCGAAGAGGACAGAUAGGCUAAAGAGAGGUUAGCGCUAGCUAGUGUUAGAGAGCUUGCUGGAUGAGAGCAGAGCAGACUAAUUAGAGGAAGGCGCGAAGCGUAGUAACUUCCGGAAUGAAUGAGUGCAGCAAAGUCUCUUAUCUUCCCCCUACGCCCUAAGAAGGAAAAACUGAGCAAGAUAGCUUCAGCUUCCAUUGAGCGUUGAGAGAGAAAUCGAGAUGUGAGAAAAAGAAUAGCUUUUCUUCAGCUCUUCACUAGCCAUUGCCAAUCCUGUUCUCGAUGGGAAAGCUUUACCUUAAGUGGAGUGGCCAGGCUCUGAUCUGAUUCCUCUUCGCGACUCUGAACGAAUGCUGUCGGCAUUCAAUCAUACAUAUACGAAGUGUGCCGCGAGUCACCUUAGAGAAAGAGAAAGGAACUUAUAAUGAUUGCUAGCAGAUGUUAUGAAAGAAGGGAUAGAAGGAGAAGAGACUGGGGAAUGCUUUUUCACUAUACGAGAAUUCCUCUGAUUCCUCCAUUCCAACCAGGUUUUCAGGAAUAAGCACUGCAAGAAUGGCGAUACCCCCUGCAGUUACCUCUAAAAGGAAUGAUCUCGGGCAUCAAUCUAAAGAGAGUUUGGUAGCUUUCCGGGAAAUUGCCUUAUCUUAUUAAAGGAAAAGGAAGAACUCGCUUUCGCUAGGCACCAAGGCUUCUUACCCUUCUGCUUCUUACCCUUCUGCUUCUUACCCUUGGUAGUGUGCUUGUACAGAGUAGUUUGUUUCACCUCUAAUACCGUUUUGGAAUCAGUAAGAGUUCGCAUCACUGUUUCCUCAGGAAGCAACGCAGUAGACAGCGAUUUCAUCUCAUGACGCAGUUUAGCAAUUUCUGACUCCAUACUAGCAAUACGCUGAGCAUAUUCUUUCUCUUUCUUUUCAAAGAUCUCUUUAAUGAAAGCAUUUUCCUCCUUCAGAAUCUUCAAUUCCAAUUUUAGAAUAGAGCUUUCUUGACCACCGAAGUCUAUUACAUCCUUAGGUUGUGUGUCUACCCAAACAUUGUUAUCAUCAUACACAGGGUCCCUUUUUGUAUCCGCUUGGAUUCCAAGGCUUACUUGGAAAGACUUUUUGGCUAUGUUUAGGGUAUGCCAAUCAAUUCUGAAGUUACCUUUUUCAAAGAGCUGAUUCGGUCACAGGAUUCUCUAACAGGAUUCGUUCAAACAGAAAGAGAACUGCUCCUGCUUCUUAUAAAAGAGAAUCUCUCUUUCAACUCUAGCCAUUCUUGGCUUGGUCACAUGCAACCAUCAAGAAAGAAGCAAGCAUUUAACAAGAAAGCAUCAACCGGAUUCAUUGAACUUAAAAAGCAUUUCGACAUAAAGCAUUUUCACUCGAGCUGAAACAAUUGAUGAAUUACCCGAGGCUUUCCCAGGGGCGGCUGGGCUUGGGUGGGCCUCUUUCUCUUCCUUGCUCUUCGAUAAGGGCGUUGGGCGUCUUACAGAAGAAGAAGGAAAUAAAGUAGGUCAUCCCAUUAUUGCUAAUAAGAAAUUCACGUCCGUCUCUGUGCCUUUUCUGCCUUUGAGAAUGCCCAUUGCUCGGACCUCCUUCUUUUAUUUCAAUAUAAGUUAAAGGCGCUUGUCCGUUGGGGGGUCAUUCCCUCUAGCCGAACGUAGUUUGCGAGUUGGGUCGUUGACUUAUUGGCCUUUCAUCGAAGAGAUCGCGCAUGGGGAGUGAACCUUAUCCCUUUUUUGGAACUUCACCGAGGACAUCGCAUGCUAGAAAGAAUGUCCUUUCUGCGCGUCAUUACGGUUACCUGUUCACUAGUAAUCUGGUCGAAAAAGAUCCAAAAACUAGAACGUCGGUAACAAUCCCGAUCAAUUAGAGGAACGGAGAACUCAUCUCCCACAAUAAGCAACUAUAUAACUCUAAGGAUCGUGUCAUACUGCCUUUCGCUGUGCAACUUCCACCAGCAGUAUGACCUUCUGAAUGCUGCUAGGUUCGGGCCCCAUUCGAUUCCUUUAGAAAAGGAACUUUUAUAUAAAAGGAAGCCGAACCCACCUUCGAUGAUCUUAGACUUCACGUUCUCUUAAAAUUCCAAAUAUCAAUAAAGCUAUCUCAGCUCGACUGUCAUUUUGAAAGCCGAGUCUUCGAGAGGUCUACCGUCUACCGCAUUCACAGACCCUCCUCCUAUCUACCUCCUAUGGGUCCGCGGAUUGCUGCCUGGGGCGAGGCGUGCCUACCACUUACUGUCUGACGGACAAAGGGGCCUACUCCAAGACCCGGGCAACACAAUGUUUCCUCCACUCCGAAGGUCACACUUGCCCUCCGAAAGCCAUUCGUGAGAGGCCGCCCACUAUACUCUCGCUUCGAGCCUUUAUUCGCAGGAGGAUGGCUUGAGACCAAGAUCCCACCCCCAAAGGCCGAUAUCACGUAACCAAAAACCAACUGCCGGUCUGAGCCCGCCAGAAACCCAAUUCGAUUCCAUUGCUUGGCGGCUAGCGUUCCAUUGCUAGGCUUCUAUGCUGGCUGCCGGCUACUAGGAUCAGUGGUUUUCACCCGCACCGAGGUCCCACUUCGGUGACAACACGGCCUCGACCCUCAGUCUUCUACGACCACAGCGGACCGCCGAGGUUCUAUACUAAAGUACGCCCCCUUAAUGAAGGUGUUCGCCUUUAGGACUCACGGUUCAAACGGGAUGCAACCAAGCUCCGUCCCAGGGAUUGCAAGCAACUCGAGCCGCUACGUCGCUCCAAAGACCUCUGCCUACACUCAUGCCAUCUUCCAAGCAAUUCGUUCUCCUCGGCCGCCUUUAAGGCCGCACCCCCCGAUAGAUCCUGGAUAGCCCCGGCGCGGAAAGAACAUGAACGCAUCCGUUUUCUUUCUGUUUGGAUGGCCAGCGGUUCCCGCGUAGACAGGCCCCAGUAGAGUCCGGCUGAGAAGGAUCACCUUUACAAUUCCCAACACAACCCAGAUAAGUGGGCAAGACGCUUCUGCAGGCAGAGGAAGAAAAUCUUCGGCCAAUAUGAGGUCCCCCAUACCUGCACCUGCAGGGCGCCCAAGACAGACACAGAGGUCUCUUUUUUCGGAUUUCGUUUCUCGGAUUAGGGAAAUCCGUGGAGAGAUCGUAGAAGCAGAGAUUCGCCUCGACAGCAAGAAUUUGAAAGGUGACUCAAGGUUAUAAUCCCGACCAGCAGUAUUAAGGGUCACGUUGUCGGAUCCUUUUAGGGGUUUCGAUUUAUCAACUUCUUUCGAAGCCGUGGUUAGUGAUAUCUGGACACUUUUCCAGCCCAACUACUCCGGGGAUAACCGGAAUAGAGCUCCGAGUAUACCUACGAGUCGUUCUAUCUCGUCAUGGGUUUGGCAGCAAGCACCGUACGCUCCUGGGGCGGGACCAAGCCCAUACUUUUGACACCCUUUUCUAUUGAAAUCCCGCUCCUUGGGACCACAGAGCUGCGAAGAUGGGGGGGCUCCUGCGGGUCUACCAUUGGCCAUUCAUUGGGUUACUGGUUCCCGCACGGUCGUCCAUCGGCUUGACCACAGUACGGAUUACCGGAUCGAUAGACUUAAGACACGACCCUGCACUGAGAUAGUUACAUUACUAACAUUUUGAAUUCACUGCAGAACGAGAAGACUAGGAACAAGGAAGAACAAGCAUUGCCGCUUUCCUGCAUUACUCCGUCUGUCCAAUGCCAGUUUGUAACUGAUAUGGACAAUGGGGGUGAUGAGCCAUCCGCAAUACGGUAGCAGUAAGCACGGCUGUCCACCAGAGCCGUCGGAUUCCGUCGGUCGAUCGUCUGGUUCGAAUACCUACCUCUCGCGGAAGGAUUCAGUAAUCGAACGAUGCUGUCGGCAGCGCUUGCGCACCCCAAAGAAUGGAUCCAAUCCAUCCCAAGCACAGCACCAAGUGCCCGCCCGUCUGGCCUCUUAAUAGAAGGAGGUCCUUUUGCGGACCUGCCGAUCUAUACGCUCCCACUCUUUCAAGCAGAAUACUACCGGCUACAGAUCAAAGCACGAUAGCUUAGCCAAACCAAUCCUCACUUACCGACCCUUAAGAAAAAUGACAACUCAAGGGCGUGCCGCCGAGCUCCGGAAUCUCUUCCGCGAUAAGCUAAGAUUGGCCCAACCACGCAAAGGCGAUUUCGAGCACUCACUAUAAUUAUUUUCAAAAAAACUAGGAACAGAGGUCAGAUCCAAAUCCAAUUAGAAAAUAAGGAAAAAAGAAAUAAAAAAAGAACAAGAAAAAACUUGUUUGUACGAGAUUCAACAACCAAUUUAGAUAACCAGACACAUUUAAAGCAAAGAGCGAAUUGACCACUUCCACACAGGACUAGUUUGUAGUUCGAGGUCUGUCCCCCUUGUCGAUUUAGCAAACCAAUGCCUUAAGCCACUCAGCCAUCCUUCCUACCGUAUGGGUGUACUCAGAUAAGAAGUCAGGGAAGUACAGCUAUACGGAAUACGAUGAGAAGUAGAGCAGGCGAAGCGAAGCGAUAACGGAUCUUACUGUCUGGAGAUCGGGUUACGUCGCUAAGGAAGCUGCAGGAUCCCAUGAAUUCGAAGAUUGCCUGCGGAAGUGGAAUAAGCCGAAAAAUGAUGCCUCUCCCUUCUGUCUUGGCUACCAUGCUCUUGCGCUAGAGCAAUGCGAACAGCUUCUUCUCAAGCAGGGGAUUCAAUAAGAGUGGAUUCUGGGCAUCUGGCAUUUGUCCUGAGAACAGCUCCUUCUCUGCUCAGAGUAAAAGAGGCAAAGUGCUAACUACUAAGGAAAGAAAUUCCAUUCCCUAGGGCAGAUCUUCCUCUACUGGGAUUGACUCGCUUAGAAGGGGUCCCAUUCCAUUCCUUUGGCAAAGACCCGCUCUGACUAACUCCUUCUCUCAUUGAUCCGAAAAGAAAGGCAUAAGUCCCACAUCUCUUAGGCGCCAAGAGUCUCAGAUGUCCAUUCAAAACCAAUAGUAGCUCGGCAUCGGGAAUCACUGACUUUAUAAGAGAAUGGUCUCUUUGCUCUUCGCCCCUUGUCCAUUCCGCGCUUACUUGCCAAAGCUUGUCCACCCACCGCCCAUGCCCCUCUUCCUUCUGAAAAAAAAAGUCAGCCCCUAUACUUCUUUCUUACCUAACAGCCUCGUAGACGCGGGGAAUCGCUAAAAGUAUGUUUGAACGGUAAGGAAAGAGUCAGUUCGAGUCACUCUGCCUCUCUUAUACACUAUUUUCAGUUCCUUCCUUGGCUGACUUUUAUUAACAUAAAAUCUCUGUCUCGCCUUUAUCCCGCUUCUCCUAAGUUCCCUAAACCCCAACCUUCAAAGACUAAAACUCUUUCCCUUGUCUACUAAAAAAAGACACUACAAGAUCAGAUGAACUUCUCGAUUUCGAUUAUACGUCGUUCCUCUCUAUUAUUUUGGGGGCGCCCUCCUCGGUGACAAGAAUACGUUUCCAUGCAUCUUACUUAGAUUUUAAGAGCAAUAGCAUUCAAGGUGACUAUAACGCUUAAGACCGAUGAUCCAACCAAGACCGCGAUGGCCUUAGCUUUAGCGGCCCUAGUUGAUUGACUUGCUACCGCUAACUCGCUGUGCGCUCCCCCCGGCGCUUCGACAACAUUACCGCCUACAUCUGUACUACUUAUUCCGUCCUGAAUAGAAGCAUGGAGAGUCCGCCUUAGAUCGUCAAAAUCUAAAGCGGGCACGAACGGUUGAUUUAUUGUUGUACCAUGCUCUGGCAGGGCGGUCAACCAAAUGAAAAAGCCAAUGAAUAGAGGCGGCAAUAGAAGAUUCAAGACUGAUAACAAGACUCCCUUCGGAAUAGGCAAGACUACGGGAUUACGAAUCGCAACAUAAGGAUGAUUCGGAGAAAGAUUCACCUCUGGCAGAUUGGAGGAGAGAUUCCACUUUUGCAUUAAGAUAUACCGCUUGGGGACUUUUUCCCCAACGAAAUGACCCAAGCCUCGUUUGGGGGAACUAAGGUUGAGGUGCCCCCACUCUCCUCCUUCAAUAGGGCGGUAGAAGAUAGUGGGCCCGAUCGAGACCUUGACAACCCUUAUGGCCUUGAUCCCUUUCCCGCGGGGGAGUGCUCUAUUCAAUAAGUGCCCCUUGAGCCCUUUCUGGCCUGCCCAGAAAGCCCUUUGCGCGGUACUUUCGACCAAGAAAGAAUAGGUCAUGCUGGUAGCCGGAGGCAUCCCUCUCUUCAGGCUAGGUGGGUCCCCCCGUUCCGGCUCCCAUCUUGAGAAGAGAUCGUGAUUGCGACUGUCCGUCAAAAUCAGUCGCAAUCUUUUGGCAUAAUACUGGAGCAGCUGCUUUGAGUCUGCGCGCGCGCUAACCCGAGCGGGACUCAAAAUCUUCCCCCUCCGAUUAAACAUAUCUUCCCCUCCUUUGAGGGAUUGAAUAUUCAUCUCUUUGUUAGGAAUAUAAAAAGUGGCAAACAUUUCGAUCCUUCCUUUUACUAGUCUUCACGGCUGGAAUCAUAAAUGCAUUGUCUCCUUUUUUUUUGUUUCUUUGCUACCCCUGCUACCUCUCAUACCUGUUUCCUUCUGUAGUAUGAGUUGAGAAGAAAACGGAUUCAAUCCAGCCGUAGGUAGGGACGCCCACGGCUACCUUGUUUCGAACGAAUCGGAGAAGGGAUUGCACCCCACCCCUAGGAACGGGAACGGAGUUUGUCAGAGCUCGGGUAAGCAUUUUCUGACCGGCACGCUGGACCCUUCUAACAGAGGAAAGUCCUUUCCGACGGGUUUUUCGUAUUAGGCCAGGUCACUCUCAGCUAUACGACUGACACAAUUAGACUGAGGUAUGGCUGAUAAGAAAGCGUAGUGGCUAGCUACCGCUGAUUGCUUCGGGAAUCAUCCUCCAUGGUGACUGCAUGGAGGCCGGCUUGUCGAGGCCAACACCAUCCAGCCUGGUAUCGGAAUCGAGCGUGCAGGAACCGAGAUGCCGAGUUGUGGUCAGCGCGAACCGAAAUGAGGAAGAAGUCCCGACCAUCUCGAUUCCGGUGUGCAGAGGCCAGCUUUCCGCUCAGUACUUUAGGGCUCGGACAAGCAACGAGCCGGCUUCACGGCGCCCGAGGUGGCUUCCGCUCAGGAACAGAACAGGAAAAGGAAGUAGUAAUCCCGCAAAAUACACUACUCUCAAAAUAUAGACAAAGCUGUUCCCUUCUAAUGUAUGCCCCCGGUAAGGGGGGAAAUAUAUGACAUACACCUUUAUCCUUUCGUGUGAGAAAGAGAGAAGAAUUUUUUGAUGAGAACUUCUUCUUCUUCUCAUAGCACGAAUCCGGAUAAAAGACAUAAGACACGCGCGGGUCACUAUCUGUUCUUCGACCGCAAGAGGAGCUGAUUGAGAUUGUUUGAGCAACUCGCGUAAUCGUUGACCUCUUUCCAAUUGAUUCUGAAUAGCUUUAUCGAGAUCAGAAGCGAAUUGUGCAAAGGCUUCUAACUCUGCGAAUUGAGCUAGUUCCAAUUUUGAUUUGCCGGCUACUAGUUUCAUGGCUUUAAUUUGAGCUGCAGAUCCUACUCUGGAAACAGAAAUAAAAAAAUGAAUAGCAGGUCGGAUUCCAGCAUUGAAUAGAUCGGCGGAUAAGAAUAUUUUUCCAUCUGUAAUGGAAAUGAAAUUUGUAGGAAUAUAAGCUGAAACGUCUCCAGAUUGAGUCUCAACUAUUGGUAAAGCGGUCAUACUUUCUUCAUCUAAACGAGAACGUCGAUUUAGCGGCUCUUUCCAAAAGGCGUGAAUGCAAAAAAAAACAUCUCCUGGAUAAGCUUCACAACCAGGGGGUCUUAUUAAUAGAAGAUCAAUUUGGCGAUAAGCUUGUGCCUGUUUGGAGAGAUCAUCAUUUAUUUUAUAAUAAGUAUGUCGUUCACGGUACAGAAAAUAUUCAGCCAGAGCCGCUCCUGUAUAAGGAGCGAGGUAUUGUAAUGUAGCAGGUGAAUCCGCCGUUUCGGCUACCACAAUAGUGUAUUCCAUCGCUCCUCGUUCCUGGAAAGUAGUCACUACCUGAGCCACAGAAGAUGCUUUUUGACCAAUAGCUACAUAAACAUGUAUGACAUUUUGCCCUUUUUGGUUAAGAAUCGUAUCUGUGGCUACUGCUGUUUUGCCGGUCUGUCUGUCCCCAAUAAUGAAUUCUCGCUGACCGCGUCCUAUCCUAUAGGGAUCAUCGAAUCAAUAGCAAUAAGCCCCGUUUGAAGAGGCUCAUAUAAUAUACACGGAACGUCUCGAAAGAAUACCUGGGGCAGGAGAUUCAAUUAACCGAGAUUCAGAAGCUGAAAUUUCACCUCUCCCAUCAAUAGGUUUAGCCAGAGCAUUUAUAACACGACCCAAAUAAGCCUCACUCACAGGUAUCUGAGCAAUUCUUCCUGUUGCUUUUACAGAACUUCCCUCUUAUAUCAUCAAACCAUCACCCAUUAAUACAACGCCAACAUUAUUUGAUUCAAAAUUCAGAGCAAUGCCUAUUGUACCCUCUUCAAAUUCUACUAAUUCACCUGCCAUUACUUCAUCAAGACCAUGAAUACGAGCAAUGCCGUCGCCUACUUGAAGUACGGUGCCGGUAUUCACAAUCUUUACUUAUCUAUUAUAUUGUUAAAUACGUGCACGGAAAAGAUGACUUUCAUCGUCGGCUCGAAUGGUUUCAUGGUUGGAAGGUAGAGUGAGUCUGGGGAGGCCCGGAUGAAUGAUUGAGUCAGACUAUCUGGUAGAGCUUAAGAGCUUUACAACGCGGGCUUGGUUUAAGAUUUACCAAGUUACGAAGGCCGGAUUGAUUGAAGUGGGUGAUACGAUAGGAAAGGAGCCGAGAUUUGGCUAAGUAAGGAAGAAACAACUUAGUAUCCAAUUUCACUAAGUGAGGCCACUACUACGAAGUUGCGCGGAUACGAUAGCUUUCUUCAAAGACGCGGACGGAGGCUAAGUGGCAGAAAUCGCAAGCUUUUCAAACGUAAGGAGCAGUCGUCGUACGGACAACUACGAAGUAGAGGCCAAGGGGGCGGUGCGACUUCGUAGAAGUCAGAAGAUAGAAAGAAGUCCGAAAGAGAGAAGGCAGGGUCACGUCACGCGGCUCGUAGAGAAAGAUAACGUAGAAAGAAGUAGGCGAAGUAAAGAUUCAGUCGAUCAAUCUGCUUUCUGUCUUCAUUUCAAUCCCAUCCUUCUUUUCUUCUUUCCGUUACUCUCCAUUACAAAAGGCGAACAGCUAUUACUUUAGAGGCUCAUCCGUUUAAUUACCCCUCUGGGGGCACGGGGAAGGGAAUAGGACAUUCAUAUGGGUAUAGUGUAAUCAAGGGAGGAAAGCAAAAAGAGUGAUUGAUCAGGUAUCAUUUCGAUCCUGAUAGAAGAAGAGUACGCGCACUACGGCUUUUCAGCCUCCGUUUGCUGGAAGGCAAAACUCUUUUUUUUUUUUCUUUUCUCGACACUCAUAGAGUGGAUUCCAUUCCGAUGGGGCAAGAGUGGGAGACCCAUAUUGAGAUAAAGAUCCCGCGCCGCUAUUAAUAACCCUGGAUUCUUAACCACCAAAAGGAUAGGGCUUUAUCGGCCACAGAAACGGAAGAGCCGUCACAUGACAGCCCUAAAUAGUUAUAGGCUCUGACCGAAGAGCAAGCGAAGCGAGUCAAUUGCGUUGAGGCCAAAAUGCUUUGUCCGGACUCCACCCAAAAAAGAGAAAAAAAAACCAGCUCGGACCGUACCGUUGAGUUUGUUGCCCAUUUUUAGUAUCACAGUUGGGAGAAAGAAAUAAAGGUGAAAAGAUUAUACUUCUAAGAAGAGAGAAUUUGUUGGGAUUGUGGACUUUAGAUCAAGGAGUAAAUCGGAGUUUCAAAUCCGGAAGGAAGAUUGAGUUCGUAACCAUUUUUUCCUUUAAACUUGUAAACACUUUCGAAUCAGAGCCUUACCUUACAUCAGGUAUUGAUCGUCCCUCGACUGAAGCAGUGUCGGAAAGACGAGCGAGGUUUCCACUUGUGCUUUUCCCGGAUAGGUCAUUCUAAAGCAGGAACACUAUUUUGGACAGGAGUCGCGUACUUCUUAUAAAGGCCGACAAAGCUCUCUAGAAAACAGCCGCCGGAAGCCACACAUGGAAAGUCAUGUUCCUAGAGUAAGGAUUUCCACUCUUUUUUUUUCCGAUGAGAAAAACGAGGUUUAUUUUUUCCCAUUCCUCCAAACCCACAACAUGAACCUUUUUAUAUACCUAUUAAAAUGUACCCAGAACAACCGUCGACUCAUAAGCUAUGGCAUGCAGGUAUAACCGCCUAACGACCUAGAUAUUUCAUAAAGAGCUAUUUCUAUUGAGUUACCAAGCCCACCGAGAUCUAUUUCAGUAUUCGAAACACUACCGGGGCUCACCUCCCCUACUAAUCAAAAGCUCUUCGGGACAUCAGGCGAGAAACAACUACUCCGCCCAUCCACAGCUAUUAUGAUGAUAGAGAACCCGGGACACAGGAAUCACCUGGAUCUCAGCAAAGGGAGAGGAACCACUACGUACAGAGUUUGUAAAACAGCAACAGGGACAAGCCCACCGGGUUGAAAACCACCAUACUACCUAGAAAACCUAAACCUUUGUACAUGAAUGAAUGCACACUCACUACUCCCUAUAGUUAUCUAUCUAUCCAGAUAUAUACGAGAUCUCCUACCUAUCAGUCACCAACUUGAUACAUACGGGAACAACCCACCAACACAUCAAAGAUAAGUCUUAUAUGCAUUUUGAGCAUGGCACCGGUAGCUCUAAUAGCGAAGAAAAGGCGUGCGAGGACCCAUAGCUCCAUUUCACAGUCCUAUAAUCUAUGCUGUGCUGCAUUUCCAACACACUGGACCUUAGCUGUUCUCAGUAGGGGAAAUAGCGACUUCUAGCCGCAUGAAAUCAUGGAGUUGGCUUCUUCGUUACCUCGGGUUGGGAUUUUUCCCCUAUAGAAGAGAUGGCUCCCGAUCAUAAGCCACAGUUUUCUCAUGACUUGCAUAAUAAUAUUCCGGCCGGCCGGCCCUGUUUCGUCUUUCGAUCUUGGCAAAGAAGUUUCUAACCAGCACCAACUCAGAUUUAAGACGGCUUGCUAGUCGAAGAGGCAGUUGAUGUCAAUCUCGCGAGGACAGCCCCAAGAUGCCUCAUCUCCACCAUAAAAAGUCAUCCAUGUCAUUGUCGCGGAAGACUACCAUUCAAGAAUAAGAGCUUUUUCUCUUUGAUUUCGCUGGAUCCGACUCCAUGGAUCAUUUGGGACCCAUAAAUAGUCAAGUGCCAGCCAUCCGACGAGGAAAAAUAAGUCAUAUAAGAGCUGAAUAAAGAGAAAGAAGUGGUUGCUUGUUUGUUGCCAAGAAGAGGACCUAAGCGCUAGCUCUAUCCCGUCCCACUGGACUGCCCAGAUAUCAAUGCUCUCUCUCUCGUCUCUUGUCCUAGAGCGCGCCUCAUCAAGCCUAAUUCUCACUAGGGGGAGCCUUCGCUCCGCCUUCGGAGACUGUUCCGUAUGCUCUCCCUUCAUCUGUGCCUUUGACUGAGCUGUAUUCGACCUCUGUUUCCAUCAACGAUGUAACUAGAUCCGGUCGAAUAUACCAACCUGCUCAGUUGAGAGGAGCUGCGCCAGCCAUGCCAGAAGCGCAUGCACCCGCGCCAAGCAAGAAGGGGAGAUAUCCAAGAAACCUAUGAUGUGGCCCAGCAUUUGAAAAGGAUCCCGGCCAAAAUCUAUAAUCUCUAUUUUUGAUCUGUCUUUUGCAGACCUCGAAAUCUCAUCGCGAAGCCUUCCUCCAGGUCUACAAAAUGCUCAUGUCUCGCAAGGCACACCCCUCUAUAUAAUCUCCAAGAGAUGAUUGGCCAACUAGUGGCCCCACAGCCUAACAUUUUCUUUUCUCUUUCUAUUUUCAUUCUAGAUAGAGCAGUAAGAAGGAUCUCUUAUGCAAGCUUUCUUGAUGAAGGGUACCUCUUUCUAAAACAAAUUGUAAUCUUCCCUUCCUUUUAUAAUGGAUUUUUCUAGCCUCAAUGGCUAUAGCAUUUUCUAAGAUAGCAAUCCAAUCGUAAACCGUAAUCAGUGACACACAAAAGCCAAAUCAUAAACUUCGGAGCGAGUUCAAUAGUUUUCGAAUAGCUUCCGUCGAAUUACGCUUGAUGAUAAUUAAGUAGUGGAGUGGCAAGCAAGAGCAGAAGGAGGAAGGUGAGUAGGGUUGGUGAAAUGAUGCAAAAAGGCAUGAUGAGAUCUGAACCCCUACCUUGACUAAGAGAAUUAGGUUAUUCUUUUGCAGUUGGUCUUUGGUGCCUAUCCAUCCUAUGCCUCGUACGUAGUAUAAAUCAGAACUGAAAACUCUUUUAUACCCGGAAAAAACUUUUAUUCAUUCCCUUGAUUUGGCUAUUCAUUCUAGCAACAAUCGUCAAACACGGCAUAGCAACAGCGGCUAGCUACUUCCUUAAGUUAGAAGCAGAGGUAGGACUAGUCUGGGUAUGAAUCAAAUCCUUUCCUAGGGUGAGUCCUUAUGUAAAUGUAAGUAGAAGGCAGCCAUCUAAGAGAUGUUACUAGUCUGUAUGCAAAGCCUCCUAGUCCCAUCCCCUUCUGUAAUAGGAACUCCCUGCGGGCGCUAUCCUAUAAGCAGACGCAACUAGAAGACAUUAUUGUCUUUAUCUAAGUUAGAGGCUUUUAUAUAGCUUAAACCCUUUCCUUUUCCCAGGUAUUCAAAAUAAUCUUUCUAAAGUGCGGAUGAGAGAACCAGACAGCUUCACACCUGAAGGGACGAUUAGAGGGUUUAGCAGAAUGCAUACCUUCCAUGUAAAUGAUCAUAGGAUAGUAGUCUGAGGUGGUACGAGGGAUGUUUCCAACCACAGCUUAUGGUAAAAUCUCUUUCAACUUCUACUUUACUAAGGCUAGAUCCAAUCGAAGCAGCGUCUUAGCUAACCCUUCCCUACCAUUGGUCCAAGUGGUCUAGGACUACAGCAUGCCAAAUCCAUUAGACCACAACGAUGAAAUUUGAUGCAAACUGAAUCAGAACAGUCUCUGAUUCAGACUGGAUUUCGAACAUCGUCCCGGUUCAACAUAUAAACCUAUUUCUUGGUCAACAACCUAUAAAAAGGAAAACAAAUAUUAGUACAGGAAGGACUCUUUUUUUGUACGGAGAGAAAAUAAAAGCAAAUGAGCUAAUGGGAAUAUUUAAAGUUCAUUUUUUUAGACAACUAUGCUGACAAUUCUUAUAUAUGUUGUUUGCCCUCGCGGGGAUACCUGCGCGGGAGAGGAUACCUCUCAUCUUUUUUUAUUCCAAUAAUGAAUGCAUUUUUUUAUUGGCAAAAGUGCCAUCCUCUUUUUUUGGAAGAGAGGAGGGACUCCAUAUAUGCCGACAUUACUGAGGCGCCGCCCUUCCAUAUGGAUCCUCGUGGAUGUGGAAAUCACACGUGUGUUAACCUCCUUAUGUUCAGGAGAGGUCCCUUUUCUACCCGACGGGUGGUAAACAUGGGGGGACAUCUCCAAUUGGGUAAAUGGCGACUCACAUGACCCCGAUUUUCUAUUUGUUUGAAAUAGUAUAGACGAGAUGAAGAGGAAUGGGGUCGAUAGCAAAUGGUUCAAAGAAGCGGUACGAUUCCUAACCGAUUUUUUGAACUUAAUCAAUUCCUCUCUUCCCCUUUUUAGCCAACACCAUCAACCUUGGGCAAAGCCAAAAAUUUGAUGAAUAGAAGGAGAUCAGAAAGAUACGCGGACGACUUGACCAUAAGGUCGGAUGUUUCCGUGAGCAGUAAGCUGCGGAUCUCCCCUUUUUGGGGGGGAAAGCUGGUGGCCCUUUUGGCGUGUUAAUUCUUUCGACGGGGCGGCCUGAUUCGUUCGGUAGAUCCGGUCGAGGUGGUUUUCGUUUACCAGCGCGUAGGUGGUCUAAGUUCCUAUGACCGAGUCUUUCUGGCCCCUGUGAACAUAUUUUCUUAAUGUAUUAAAGAGGGCCUCUCUAACCGGUGAAAAGUGGUAGGUGUCCACUAACGGCUAUUCCUGGCUCGGCUCCGAUAACGCAAUUCCGGGAGGAGUCGGUAGUUGGGCACUGGAUCCCUUCGGACCUGGAGAACGUGUGACGCUGGGUCGGGGUUUGGUGAACCAACAGGUCGCUCCUCUAGUUGAAGUAUCGGGCCCCUUUUUCGUUGCCUAGGUUACACCUUCGGAAUACCCCAGACGGGGAUUUCGCUCUACUCCCCCCAAUCUUCACUUUAGGCCACGCCGACUCUCCGUCGUGGAAUUAGACCAAGGGGAAUCCCCAUAGGACCCCGUCUCCCGUAUCUUAUCUUUCGCACGUAGGAGAUCGAGACACAGCCUCAGGGCUAUGGGGAAAGUAGAUCGAUUGCCCUAGAUAGACAACUACAUAGAGGGUCUCUACAAGUCUAUAAAGAAGUUUCAAAAAAUUUUUCGGUAGUAGUCCGGUCGCACCCGAACAAUAAUAUUCCAGAGGGAAAUGCACCUAAGAUCAAAUAUUUUGAGCCGGCUUCCGUGGAAAAUUCAGACUUUCUUUUUGAUGCUGCGAUCACAUAAAAACAUAAACUUUGAGGCUCAAUAGCUAAAUACAUGGCAAUUGAAUCAUGAGCCGGGAUCAUUAAGAGCAUACUGCGAGUAGGAAGUGGAAUUAAUACAAUGGAUUCAGAAGCAUCAAACCUCUCUUGUUCGAAAGAAUCGAAACACAUCGAAAUGGUACCAGCCGUACUUAAUAAUGGAAGGAUUUGGCAGAAAUAUGUAGAAUUGUCCCUCCUAAAAAGAUUAUUCCGGAAUAAAUGGGCAAUAGUUAGGAGAGGUGCGCCAGCGGCGAGCAGAAGCAAGGUUAUUAGAUACCGAAGGAAAGCCCGGCCAGAACCACACGUGCAAGUUUCCCUGCAUGUGGCUCGUCCGUGAUAACUUCUUCGGAUUUGCGUGAACUAGCGGACCGAUCACUAAGUGGGAUGCUCCCUCCAGCAUGAGCGAACCUUUUCAGAACUGCUUAGGAAUGGGCGCCACUAUCCCAGCCCGGAUCCAGCCAGGUUCUAUUGAUCAUGUCCCCUUCCCAACAGUUGUACCUUGUCUUGGGGCGUCUUUGGCUUUACUCGAUCAAGCCCGCCGGAAAAAGAAAAGUCUUUCUCUUCCCGUCCCGGGUCAUAGUGAGGCGGAGGUGCGUCCACAGAAGAGGAAAGAGCAAUGCAUCUUGCUCAGCAGGCGUAGCUUGGAGUGGGAGUGUUGCGGGGGAAAGGUAAGGAAAGUGGCCUAAGAGAGGAAGCCAAACCAACCAGGGCCUAUUGAGCGCAGCUAAGCUAAUAUGCGCCGGAGAAAAGAAAGCUUACGGAGGUAAGCUCUAUUCGGUCCGGAGCAUUGAUUCCCCAUAACGAAUAGGCUAACUCUAUCUCUCAAUUGCCUAUCCUGUGCUCGAGAAGGUCCCCCAGUUCCUCGGCUGCACCUCGAGGUGCAUUUAGUUGUCUAACUUUAUACUCGGGAUAUUCCCCACUCCAUGGCACCUUUCGCUCAUCUAUUCAGCCCGCCCGUCCAGACGCGGUGCCCUUUCGCAUUAUCAUCUACCGCCCUUUCUUUCCUCCCGUCCCUUCACGCAUGAAGAUCGUCGUAUGUAUGUUCGACUUCGGUUGCCGGUGCAAUAGAAUAGGUAGGAGUACAUUAUGGCAGGAUCAGUCACCUGGGCAAACCAACCUUCCUCCAAGAAGAAUUGUGCUAUGCCCCCCCGAUAUCCCUAUAGAGCGAAAGAGCUGCCUGGUGAUCCCUAGGUUGCAGCACGUCCGGUCGUUAACUCCUCGCGCCGCUGCCGCCGUUUCUAGGACCGACCGACGCCUCACCUGCACAGGUACCUACGUAGUGUAGUGUCGGUCGCACAUUCAUAAUAGCGUUCGGACUCAUGUGCCUUCCAGAACCAGGGGAGUUCCCUUGCUCCUGCUGCGUACGAUUAGCCAGCCUUGCGGCGGCAAAAGGAUUAGGACGUCCCCCCAUGCUACGGUUCCCUGCGGUCCGGCCGCAUUAGGUUAGGGAGCUGGGCGAUAAUAGCUCCUCCGCAUCCCAAGCGCGCUGCCCUCCUAGGCGCGCAACACUAAGUAAUCCAAGCCAACCCACAUUACUGACUAACGGUGGAUAAUCAUCUUUCUUAGAGGUACUAAAUACAACUCCAUGAAUGAGCAAAAUGAAGGUUGCGUUAAUGAUAAAGAUCUCUGGGGAAACCGCUAAAAAAAGAUUGAACAUGUGGGAGGGAGGAGAGAUAACGAAUUCUGCUUUCAUUUCCCCCGUUUUCAAAAUCACAGAGUUACUUACGGAAUGUCAAAUCUUUCUCGACGCCGGCCAGGCCGGACAUCAAAUUGAGGGGGCCCACCUCACCUCUCCCCUUCCCCUGGUCAAUGGCGGUGACUUGAUUGACCAGGGCCGCCCCACUACCCCCCUACGACGAUUUUUCGAUUGGUCUUCGGACCAAGUCGAAGAGGAAGCGCUCGUUCAUGUCGUCCCCCCACCGCUCGGGUUGACUCUCUCUCUUGAUAGCAUUUAAGAGAUUUCGGAGAGCGUUGACAUCGGCUUCCGGGGACUGAUACUCAAAAUUCUGGGCCAUUUCAUCCGCAGAUCCGAGAAAGUCGAAGCUUUCUCUGCCUCUUGCGCAGUAUUUGCCGCAGAAAGAAGCCCAUACCCCCACAAUAAUGUUUGCAAAAUUUUUUUAGGAGUAGGGCGUCAGCCUUACGAAUUUGCUUUCGUAGUUUCUCCUUUUGAGCAUCAUUAUCGUCGUUAGGAAGGCCGGGGGCGGCGGGCCCGCGUGGAGCCGGGGUGCCGUCGGCACCAAUCCGUUGGUCUUGCGUUUCCAUAAGGUAAGUCCAAGCCGACCUCCAUAAAGCGCGAACCAACAUCCGUGAUACGAAAACAAAAAGAAGAAGUAGGACCAAACCGAGAGUUAGCAGUAUUUCCAAGGAUGGACUUCGCGCUACGGAAUGAAUCGAGGAACUGAGGACAUUUCCAAUACCGAAAAAAUCGGCACCACCCAUUGAUUUUGCACCUUCUAACAUCUCGAGACGAUAAUUUGCUCGUCACGUUCCUUCGCUGCUCUUUCCUGGAUUCUUCGUCGAUUCCUCUUCCCCACCCCGCGAUCCAUAGUAUAUUCCAUUGAUAGAGAGCCAAUUCCAAUAGACUUAUUGAACGUUCCCAUUGGCGUGCAUCCAGUAGGAAUUGAACCUACGAAUUUGCCAAUUAUGAGUUGGGCGCUUUAACCAUUCAGCCAUGGGCGAGUGAACUAGGUCUUUUUUUGGGGUUCCAGAAAGAACGUCAAAGAAAGGUGACUUAGACUUCUCCUUCGACUGAGACGGAGACUGAACGAGCUGCUUCGGAAAGUCAUAUGGGUCUUUUGGCUCGCAAUAAAGCUAGGGUCCUGAUCGAGCAAGACGUAGUCCUAUCUAUCUACCUCUCCAGACACAAUAUCUUGAGUACCUAUGAUGGUGACUACAUCUGCUGGCAUGUGAUGUUUGGACAUAGAAUCGAGUCCUUGUGAAUGGGCAGAGCCAGGUGCUCUUAUUUUACGACGGUAGGGACGAUUGCUUCCAUUACUGACAAGAAAGACACCAAAUUCUCCUUUAGGUGCUUCAACUGCGGUAUAGGUAGAAGGAGCUGGUACGGAAAAACCUUCUGUAUAAGGUUCGAAAUGGUGAAUUGAGGUAGAGUAGACCGAUGAUCCUGUAGUCAUUUGGCCGGCUAUGGAAAGAAAAAGCUUGCAUCUGCUCCCCCUAAACUAUAACUGGUCCCAUCUCUCUCCAAACCUAACGUGGUAGUUUCCCAUCAUAGGGCUUUCUAUCUAUAGAUUGAGCCAUUACCCACCAAGGAUCCCAUUCGUUCAGAAUGAAGUUGACUGCUUCUAUGGAUAAGGCGGAGCGUCCUUGGUUCAGCAUUAUAGCACAUAGGCUUCGGCGCUACUACAGCGCUUCGCUAACUCGAAGCGCCUCGCUAUGAGAAUGACGCUUCGCUAACGCGUUGCGUUGUCAGCUUUGCUACCGACGCUUCAUCUUAAGUGCUUUGCUACCGAGGCUCAGCAUAAAGGACGCUCCUAUCUAUAGAAGCGCUUCGUUCCGCUUCGCUAACGCUCGGCUAAGUCGUCGAACCCUCGCGCUGACCGUUCGCUUUCUCAGUAGCGAAAGCGCUUCUCUUUGCCCCUUAACUUAAAUAGAAGGACAAGAAAGAGAUUAUUGGUUUUCUUGCUCCCGCUUCUUCAUCUGCGCUCGUCAAGCCAACUUAGCUUUUUGGGAGGUGAAACAGCGGUUGAAGCGGACAUUUCGAAAUGACAGCAUCGAAGAUAUUUAUAUACACGGUCACGGUUAUUCCGGACUGCGUUCCGGAAAAAGUAGCCUACUUGACAGAAAGGGCGGGCACUCUCGGCUCGGAGGUAGGCACUCUCGUGUUUCAACCCCACGUUACUUUGAUAGUUGUGGGGCACUGUGUACUUACAGCCUCUACGAGUUGCAAGUGAAUGGGGCCGGUGCGUGGCGAACGGAACGGUUCAUCAAGCCAUUUCUCGCCUCAACCCCCUAAAUAGGAAGAGGGGUACUUUACUAAUAGGGGGCAAUUGCAUCGCACCUGACUGUGAGGGACCUCUCGAUACCUUAUCACUUCGUAACUAGUGGCCGGUUUCCCGUCGCGGAAGCCUUUUCCCAGUGCGCGGAGCCCCAACGAGGAAGGUGUUAGUGGUUUCUCAUGGGGUCAAUAAUGCGUCUCCCUCUUUUUGUGCUACUCCUACGGGAAGAAGAUAAGAAAACGCGAAGCGUUCUCUUGGUUUCCCAACCUGUUGCUUCUAAAGGCUGCCCUCUCUCGGCUGGAUUUUGGUCCAGCCUACUACGAGGAUCCCGUAUCCCGUACAUCGUCUUUCUCCCUCCUGGGUUCCCGUGGUUCCUAUGCCGCCGCGUUUCCCGGUCCUUUUCUUUUAGUGCUUCGACCCGAAGCGAUAGCUUGACGCUAGUUCAGUGGAUAAGAUGGCUGCGCUCCAGCUCACUAAAGAAUGGGACGGCAGUGGUCCGCCGGCAAGCUCGUUCUGAUCUUGGACGCAGUACAUUGGAAUCCUGAAGCACCACCACGAACGCUACCGCGCGUGCGCCUACGGUGCGGUAAGGCACCACCCUGUUGUGCCAGCAGCCAACUCCGGCGUGUCAGCUUAGUUAUCCUCAUCAAGCCACAACCUUGAUGUCUAGCUUCCCAACUGGUAGACGGUUCCCUUUCCCCCAGAUCAAUGAAGAAGGGAGAAGUCAGUUGAUUCUUCCGAAGAACCGGAAGCGAAGCGCUAUGCCGGGGCGAGGGGACGGGAAAAGAAACUGCUCCGAAGAAAGAUAUUGGGGUUCCCAAUGCUUCUCCACGCCCAACGAGAUGCGCCAACCUCGGGAUGCUUUACUCCUAACCCCACGACGGUUCCGAGACGGAGCUUAACCUGAGUCUCGGUUAAGAACGGCGAUGAUCUACGUUUCACACGGCGCACGAUUCCAUGGAUAGUUUCAUUCGACAUCGUGAUGGAGGACAUAGCUUACGAUCAUCGGCUUUGAUCAUGCCACUAGGCAUUUGAUUAGGACAUUGCACAAUGAUCCGAACACUUUGUCGCAUCUCUUCGAUACGGAUACAGUAACGAUCAUAGCGAUCUCCUCUGGUACCUACUGGUACGUCAGGAUCCGAUUGGUCAUGAACAUCGUAAGGUGCUGCUCUUCGCGAAUCCCAGCAUACCCCAGGUUGGGAUGGGUAGGCCCACCACUUCACUUUCACUUAGGCCCGGGCCAAGUCAGUGGGGGGACCCUGUCGGGCUCCUUCCCCCCCAAAACAAACUGUACGUGGGAGUUUCCCUUCAUACGGCUCGAAUCAUUCUCAGAUGCCCCGAGAGGCAUCUUUCCUUAAUUGGGUGGUUCACGCGCGCGCAAACGAGCACCGGCCGCAACAGCAAGGAACUAUGACCAAUAGAGUCAGACACAGAGCGUCAUACUUUUUUUCUUGUGAUGGUUGAGGAGUUUCUUUCUCUGAGGGUGCGGGACGCUCGCGGAGUCCGUGCCUUCCGUACCACCACAGGUCGUUCUUGGGCAGAUCCCGCUCCUAAACAUAAGGGAGGGAUAGGGGGAAGGGGGCCGGGCCUAUCAUAUAAAGAGGGUUGUUUAAAGAGAACCCGGCCACCUAUUUUCAUUCGACGUUCCGGGGCGCCCGAUUCGAUCGACGAAUUCGGCGAGCUGAUCUGCUUUGAUCCAGGAGAAAGCCCAGUCAGCCACCUUUUCGGUGUAGGUCACGUGACCUACAGCUCGGUCUUCGCUUUUUGAGACUUCCUCUACCCACAUCUCUAUGUGCCCGCAGCACUUCCAUAUGGAGAAAGAUGGGCUUACCAUGUUCCAUCAAUAGCACCUAACCUAUGCCGAUUUUGGCGGACCGUGCUCCACCCCGGUGAACUCAUGCGGUUCCGACGUGCCCAGAGGCCAGAGGCGAAUCCGUUCACGGUCCUACGGACCAACACCAUUCGAAGGUGGAUGGCCCGCCCCGCCUAGAAUAGGAAUCUUUGACUGGGCUUACACACAUUCGCUCACUUACGCUGUCCCCCCUCAGCUCACCCUAGCCCCGGGUACGUCGUCUCCAAGGCUUCACACAAAAUCUUCACUGACAACAUAUGCAUGCUUUUGUAGGGUCAGGCAGAACCGUUGUUGCCUGAUGGGAACUUCCCCCAUAUUGCUAUCAAUGUCUUCAUGUCGCACGACCUCUUAACAUUACACCACUGAAUCCCCAAUCCUUUGCUUGCUGUGCAGUGACAGUACCAAUAUCCACUAAUCGUUGUUUCCAGAUACGGUUGCCGGUUGACAUCUCUUCUAAUUCGUCGAUACGAGAAGCAAAUUGUUGUGUGGAGGAAUCAAUAUCUCGACAUAAGCCAAGAGGCAGAUCUUGUGCCACUCCACCAGGUCGUAUGAAACUGGCAUGCAUCCUGGCUCCCGGGACUCUUUCAUAGAAUUCCAACAAUUUCUCCCGCUCCUCAAAAGCCCAAAGGAACGGAGUUGAUGCUCCCACAUCCAUAGCAUGAGUAGUUGAAGCAAGUGAAUGAUUUGAAAUUCGAGUUAUUUCACGGAAUAACACUCGUAUAUAUUGAGCUCGUAAUGGUACCUCGAAAUUCAAAAGUCUCUCUACGGCUGAAGAAUGAGCGUGUUCUUGGGCCAUCGUAGAAACAUAGAUAGGGUCGACGACGGAACGAACAACGAAACUUUACGACAGCUUUUUCGUACACGUUCACUUGCAUCACAUACACAAGUGCUCUCUGAACCGUGCAAUAAGGUCACCCAUAACACGGCUCUCCCACUGGAGUGACCUUAGCCCCGGGCCAUGCUAUUCAAUGAUAUUGGAAAAAUGGCAGCGUAACUUUUUUUUAUAAUCGUCUUGAAAGCUGGGCGCCUUUUGAGGGAGGGAAAGCGUUUCAAUAGGAGCCCUACUUCUUUCAGUAGCAAACAUAUUAAGAGUUUCCGGGCGGAGCGCACCUUUGGUACUUCAGUAGGGCAAGCAGUUUGAUAGUGACUUCUUUCUUAGGGUAGGGCGACGAAAGGCUACUUCAAUGACGGAAACGUCAUAGGGUCGCCUUUGGAAGCUAAAGCGGCGAAAGUUGUUGAAAGCCGGGAGAAAAAGCGAAAGCUUGCUCGAAACGGCCCUUGACCCUAACCCUCGGAAGCGAAGACGCAAAGCGUCACUUUUCAAAAGGAAGGAGUGAGGCUGACUGAAUCCAUCCAUAAACCCGGAAACGAAACGAAGUUCGUUCCC
rnacentral:lncRNA from 1 species